GUGGGGAAUCUUGCGCAAUGGGCGAAAGCCUGACGCAGCCAUGCAGCGUGAAUGAUGAAGGUCUUAGGAUUGUAAAAUUCUUUCACCGGGGACGAUAAUGACGGUACCCGGAGAAGAAGCUCCGGCUAACUUCGUGCCAGCAGCCGCGGUAAUACGAAGGGGGCUAGCGUUGCUCGGAAUUACUGGGCGUAAAGGGCGCGUAGGCGGACAGCUUAGUCAGAGGUGAAAGCCCAGGGCUCAACCUUGGAAUUGCCUUUGAUACUGGCUGUCUUGAGUUUGGGAGAGGUGAGUGGAACUCCGAGUGUAGAGGUGAAAUUCGUAGAUAUUCGGAAGAACACCAGUGGCGAAGGCGACUCACUGGCCCAAUACUGACGCUGAGGCGCGAAAGCGUGGGGAGCAAACAGGAUUAGAAACCCUAGUAGUCC
rnacentral:rRNA from 1 species